rnacentral:rRNA from 1 species
UACGUAGGGUGCAAGCGUUGUCCGGAAUUAUUGGGCGUAAAGAGCUCGUAGGCGGUCUGUCACGUCGGCUGUGAAAACCCGAGGCUCAACCUCGGGCCUGCAGUCGAUACGGGCAAACUAGAGUACUGCAGGGGAGACUGGAAUUCCUGGUGUAGCGGUGAAAUGCGCAGAUAUCAGGAGGAACACCGGUGGCGAAGGCGGGUCUCUGGGCAAGUAACUGACGCUGGAGGAGCGAAAGCGUGGGAGCAAACAGG